ensembl:snoRNA
UGCCUCUCUCUCUUGGGGCUGUAGGGAGUCCUCUUUCUCCUCAGCCAAGAUGGAGACCAACAUUAGCUCCUGAAGACCAAGGUCAGGACUGCCGUGAGCUGACAGCUUUGUUUUCCUGCCUCAGGCAUUU